GUGGUAGGGGAGCUUACUGCGACAGGCAGAAGGUCGACCGAGAGGACGGCUGGACGAGGCAGUAGUGAGAAUGCCGGAAUGAGUAGCGAGAGUAAAGUGAGAAUCUUUACCGUCGAAAGCCUAAGGUUUCCUGGGGAAGGCUCGUCCGCCCAGGGUAAGUCGGGACCUAAGCCGAGGCCGAAAGGCGUAGGCGAUGGACAACAGGUUGAAAUUCCUGUACUACCGUUACUCGUUUGAGAGAGGUGGGGACGCAGGGGGAAUAGUUAAGCGAGCGACUGGAAGAGCUCGUCCAAGGGAGAUAGAUAGUCCGGCAGGCAAAUCCGCCGGAUGUUUCGAAGUCCUGAUGGGGAGGGAAAAUAAAGUACCGAAGUAACGAUUUCCGCACUGACGAGAAAAGCCACUAUCGAGAGUAAAGGUACCCGUACCGCAAACCGACACAGGUAGGUGAGGAGAGAAUCCUAAGACGAGCGGGAGAAGCGUUGUUAAGGAACUCGGCAAAUUGACCCCGUAAGUUCGCGAGAAGGGGUGCCAAGGCCAGAGAACGGAGAACAGAGAGUCAGAGAGCAGAGAAAGGGAAGAAGGACGAUCUGUUUUCAACAGAAGAAAGAAACGGAGAUAAAAAAGCAUCAUAUCUGUUUUCUGGAGAUCUGUUCUCUGUUUUCUGGAAUUGGCCGCAGUGAAACGGCCCGAGCAACUGUUUAUCAAAAACACAGGUCUCUGCUAAAUCGAAAGAUGACGUAUAGGGGCUGACGCCUGCCCGGUGCUGGAAGGUUACGGGGAAUUGUUAGCCUAAAGGCGAAGCAAUGAACUUAAGCCCCAGUAAACGGCGGCCGUAACUAUAACGGUCCUAAGGUAGCGAAAUUCCUUGUCAGGUAAGUUCUGACCCGCACGAAUGGCGUAAUGACUUGGGCACUGUCUCGACAACGCGCCCGGUGAAAUUGUAGUACUCGUGAAGAUGCGAGUUACCCGCGACAAGACGGAAAGACCCCAUGGAGCUUUACUGUAGCCUGAUAUUGGGUUUCGGUAUUUUUUGUACAGGAUAGGUGGGAGACUGAGAAGCGUGGGCGCCAGCUUACGUGGAGUCGUCGUUGGGAUACCACUCUAAAAGUGCUGGGACUCUAACCAGAGUCUGUGAACCAGGCUUGGGACACUGUCAGGUGGGCAGUUUGACUGGGGCGGUCGCCUCCUAAAAGGUAACGGAGGCGUCCAAAGGUUACCUCAGCGCGGUUGGAAAUCGCGCACCGAGUGCAAAGGCAUAAGGUAGCCUGACUGUGAGAGGUACAUCUCGAGCAGGUACGAAAGUAGGGCUUAGUGAUCCGGUGGUAUGAAAGUGGAAUUGCCAUCGCUCAACGGAUAAAAGCUACCCUGGGGAUAACAGGCUUAUCUCCCCCAAGAGUCCACAUCGACGGGGAGGUUUGGCACCUCGAUGUCGGCUCAUCGCAUCCUGGAGCUGUAGCAGGUUCCAAGGGUUGGGCUGUUCGCCCAUUAAAGCGGUACGCGAGCUGGGUUCAGAACGUCGUGAGACAGUUCGGUCCCUAUCUGUCGCGGGCGCAGGAUAUUUGAGGGGAUCUGUCCCUAGUACGAGAGGACCGGGAUGGACUGACCUCUGGUGCACCAGUUGUCAUGCCAAUGGCACAGCUGGGUAGCCAAGUCGGGAAUAGAUAAACGCUGAAAGCAUCUAAGCGUGAAACUAACCCCAAGAUGAGAUAUCCCACCAGCAAUGGGUAAGACCCCAUGCAGAUGACGUGGUUGAUAGGUCAGGUGUGUAAGUGCAGUAAUGCAUUGAGCUAACUGAUACUAAUAGGUCGAGGGCUUGACCAA
rnacentral:rRNA from 1 species